rnacentral:rRNA from 1 species
GACGAACGCUGGCGGCGUGCCUAAUACAUGCAAGUAGAACGCUGAAGAGAGGAGCUUGCUCUUCUUGGAUGAGCUGCGAACGGGUGAGUAACGCGUAGGUAACCUGCCUUGUAGCGGGGGAUAACUAUUGGAAACGAUAGCUAAUACCGCAUAACAAUGGAUGACACAUGUCAUUUAUUUGAAAGGGGCAAUUGCUCCACUACAAGAUGGACCUGCGUCGUAUUAGCUAGUAGGUGAGGUAAUGGCUCACCAAGGCGACGAUACGUAGCCGACCUGAGAGGGUGAUCGGCCACACUGGAACUGAGACACGGCCCAGACUCCUACGGGAGGCAGCAGUAGGGAUCUUCGGCAAUGGGGGCAACCCUGACCGGGCAACGCCGCGGGAGUGAAGAAGGGUUUCGGAUCGGAAAGCUCUGUUGUAAGUCGAGAACGGAUGUGGGAGUGGAAAGUUCACGCUGUGACGGUAGCUUACCAGAAAGGGACGGCUAACUACGUG